GAUCCUAUAGCUCAGUUGGUUAGAGCGUGUGACUGUUAAGCUGACGGCUCACAGUUACAUCACAAGGUCGCUGGUUCGAACCCAGCUAGGAUCG